GUGGGGAAUUUUGGACAAUGGGCGAAAGCCUGAUCCAGCAAUGCCGCGUGAGUGAAGAAGGCCUUCGGGUUGUAAAGCUCUUUUGUCAGGGAAGAAACGGUUUGGGCUAAUACCCUGAGCUAAUGACGGUACCUGAAGAAUAAGCACCGGCUAACUACGUGCCAGCAGCCGCGGUAAUACGUAGGGUGCAAGCGUUAAUCGGAAUUACUGGGCGUAAAGCGUGCGCAGGCGGUUUUGUAAGUCUGACGUGAAAUCCCCGGGCUCAACCUGGGAAUUGCGUUGGAGACUGCAAGGCUAGAAUCUGGCAGAGGGGGGUAGAAUUCCACGUGUAGCAGUGAAAUGCGUAGAGAUGUGGAGGAACACCGAUGGCGAAGGCAGCCCCCUGGGUCAAGAUUGACGCUCAUGCACGAAAGCGUGGGGAGCAAACAGG
rnacentral:rRNA from 1 species